rnacentral:rRNA from 14 species
CAAGAAACUAAGGGCUUAGGGUGGAUACCUUGGCAUCUAAAAGCGAUGAAGGACGUGGUUACCGACGAAACGCUUCGGGGAGCUGGAAACAAGCUUUGAUCCGGAGGUCUCCGAAUGAGGCAACUUGAAAACUCUUUACUGAAUUUAUAGGUAAAGUAGAGCAAACUCAGGCAAUUGAAAC